UCAAAUAUUUUAUUGAGGUAACUUUUCCCAAUUUUAUACACAUAUAUAUGCAUUUAUAUGUACUUAGGAAAGCUAAACAAUGUUCUAAGGCACUUGGAAUUGUGCACAGCAAAGUAUCCUAUUAUAUUAUACCACUAGAUAGAGCACGAGUUUGCUUCUUAAAUAACACAAACACCAAUAUGAAAUAAAAAAGAUAAUACAUAGUCUUUCUUUAAGGUUACAAUAGUGGAAUACAUAUACAUACGUGUGUUUACUGGUAGAUAUUUAUACGUACAUACUAUAAUACAGUACAGAUUAAGGACAACAUAAAGAAAAAGUGUCAGGCUAAUCAGUGUAAUAGUUCCAGUUAUUUACACACACAGAUCUUCUACUGUGUCAGCUGCAGGAAGUGGGAAUCAUUAAGUUAAUUUGAUAAUGCUCACAGUGAAACCAUUUUAAUUACUUUAACCAAAAUGUGAAAUAACAGAAAAAUGCCAAGUGUCUAUUAUUUUAAAAACCACUCUUACAUAGAAAACAAAGCCUACCUUGAAUUUUUAGUAAGUAUUUAACUUGUGAAAUUGGUAUAGAAUGUUUGAACACAUUGGCCCAUUUCAAAGCCACAUGAAAAAAAUACUCAAAACAAAACAAAAAACACGAGUGCUUAUCUUUGAAGUGAGGAAAGUGGUUUGACCCUCAUUUCACUGAUUAUUUCCCAAUAGUAGCUAGUAAUGCAGUAGCAACUUCUCAUUGUGGAGAUGCUCUACAAAUGUAAAGAUACAGUCCAAUCACAAAAGCACCCAGCAAGGGAGAAGCCCUCAGACUGGCAAGUGGCACAUAUAUUCUUAUUGGCAUUUUAAUAUACCAUAAAAUGGACCUGAGGGUGGAGGGUAGAGUAGCAUUCUGCCUCGUUGACUCCUUUCAAUUUAUUCUCGUUAAAAAAAAUACUGCUGUUAAAAAAGCUAAGAAUUUUAAAGCACCAUCUCUAAGUUUACGAUUUGACCAUCUUUAUUAACUCUAUGUUACUCUGCCUUGAGGUUUUCCUUUUUAGGAUUUUAAUAUUUCACAUAAUUACAGUGGCUAACUUAAUUCCAUUUACCUUACAAGAAUUGAAGGUGCAUUGAUCAAUCCGUUUCAGUGACAAAGAGAGACAGAGAAAGCACGCCUCUGUAUUUUUAGCACAGUUUAACCUUGCUUCACGUGGGUCAACUCAUCUUGCUUUGUGUGUGACCAACUCUGCAACACGAAUAUGAACGAGCCCACAGUUUAUCCACAUUUCCAUCAUAAUACAGAAUUCAUACAUCUUCAAAAGGGUGGAACCACAGGACUGUAUUUAUACAGGAGAAUUCAAAUCUGUGUAUGUGGAUUAAGUCCUUCAUUAGAAAGACAAAUACAAAAUUCUUUGAAACUGGGAGGAGUGUGGAGAGGCAAUAUAACAUUAUGGGGUGACUUCCAAGAGCAUUGAAUUGUUUUAGGUGCAUUAUUAUGAGUCACUGUGUUUUAACUCUUGCAAUAACCCUGAUGAUUGACAAGGACUAUGACCAAUAGGGUAGUUCUGAAGUAAACAAAACAUACAAAACACCCAACUGCUUCAUGUAGAAAACCUCUCCUUUAAGUAUACACAGGCCAAGGGUGAGUCACUACACCUAAUGCCCACUAUAAUUGCCAGGACUGCUCAGUGAAAACUGCAUGCAGGCAGAAGACUUGGAAAAGUGAUGGUGGUCUGAGAAAAAGCAAGGAGGUGACACAAGGCUUAGGAAGCGGCACUUUUUCCUGCGUUUUCUCAAAUGGCAGCAGUUGGUACUCGGGUAGAGGGGUAAUACCCUCCAAUGGUGGUAUGUGAACAAGGAGGAAGGCUUUUAGGUUUGGUUUUCACAAUGACUGGGGAUGCUGCUGAUGGUCAGUCACAGGGGCCUGGGAUAUUAAAUGUUUGCCAUGCAUGGGGGCAUUUCUGUACAACAAAAAUCAUUCUGAUCCAAAUGCGGACAGCACCCCACUGAGAAGCACUGAUCAACAGUACUUUGCUGAUAUGUGUAGCUGCGUUAGCAAUGUGGCAAGCUAAAUGACAUUUUUGGUGUGGUGGUAGUGGUUGUGGUGGUGGUGUAUGUGUUAGAGGUUGUGUGUGUGUGUGUGUGUGU